rnacentral:rRNA from 1 species
AUACGGAGGAUGCGAGCGUUUUCCGGAUUUAUGAGGUUUAAAGGGUGUGUAGGCGGUAUUUUCAGUCAGUGGUGAAAUCUUUCAGCUUAACUGAGAAACUGCCAUUGAUACUGGAAUACUUGAGUAUAGUUGAGGUAGGCGGAAUAUGUAAUGUAGCGGUGAAAUGCAUAGAUAUUAAAUAGAACACCGAUUGCGAAGGCAGCUUACUAAACUAUUACUGACGCUGAUGCACGAAAGCGUGGGGAGCAAACAGGAUUAGAAACCCUUGUAGUCC